UAAGAAGAAGAAACCCCAUUACCUCUCCUCUUUUGGCUCACCUAUUUUGCUUCACAAUUGAGAGUUUGGUUGGGUCAGGGUGAGUGGGUUUAUGGGUAGCUCAAGCUCAAAGGGGGUGUUGUUGUUGUAGUCAUAGUGUGUAAAGAGACUUGACAUGGUAUUGUCUUCUUGCCCCUUUUGUUAGCUGCCAUUACUGUAAUGUUCUUCUACUUCCAAGAUUUGGGUUCUCAUGUAGAAAUUUCAAGUACCACCUGAAAAAUUUACCAGAUCUCUCAAGAACAACAACUGUCCUAUCUGCUUUGACAUGGGAACUUUGGCACCUGAACCUGAGGUCACAUGCUCGAAAAAGUACUUAGCAUUGGGUCUGAAGAUAUCUGGCAAGGAAAAAUCAGGAAAACCCAGAGUUCUAUCACUUCUUUCAACACUUCUUGAGAGGUCUGUUCAAAAUAAUGAAAGCUUAUUAGAAAGUUCACAAAGUGAAGACGUGAUCACAAUAUUUCAUGGAUCAAGAGCCCCCUCUCUCAAUAUUGAACAGUACUUGGAUCGCAUUUAUAAGUAUUCAUGUUGCAGCCCUUCAUGCUUUGUGGUCGCACACAUAUACAUGGAGAGAUUCAUUGAAUGCACUAGUGCUCAUUUAACUUCCCUCAAUGUUCACCGACUACUUAUCACGAGUGUGAUGGUGGCAGCAAA
rnacentral:misc_RNA from 1 species